CUACGGGUCGCAGCAGUGAGGAAUAUUGCACAAUGGGGGGAACCCUGAUGCAGCAACGCCGCGUGGAGGAUGACGCAUUUCGGUGUGUAAACUCCUUUUAUAUGUCAAGAAAAUGACGGUAGUAUAUGAAUAAGCACCGGCUAACUCCGUGCCAGCAGCCGCGGUAAUACGGAGGAUGCAAGCGUUACUCGGAAUCACUGGGCGUAAAGGACGCGUAGGCGGGUUGGAAAGUCAGGUGUGAAAUCCUACAGCUUAACUGUAGAACUGCACUUGAAACUUCUAAUCUAGAGUAUGGGAGGGGGAGAUGGAAUUAGUGGUGUAGGGGUAAAAUCCGUAGAUAUCACUAGGAAUACCUAAAGCGAAGGCGAUCUCCUGGAACAUUACUGACGCUAAGGCGUGAAAGCGUGGGGAGCAAACAGGAUUAGAUACCCCCGUAGUC
rnacentral:rRNA from 1 species